rnacentral:piRNA from 1 species
AGAGAACAGCAGGGCAAGCCAGA